AUUUAAAUCCCUUAUCGAGGAUCAAUUGGAGGGCAAGUCUGGUGCCAGCAGCCGCGGUAAUUCCAGCUCCAAUAGCGUAUAUUUAAGUUGCUGCGGUUAAAAAGCUCGUAGUCGGAUUUCGGGUGGCGCCUACCGGUCCGCCUUUGGUGAGUACUGGUAGGUACCACCUUUCUGCCGAGGACGGGGUACUGGGCUUAGUUGUCUGGGCCUCGGAGUCGGCGAUGUCACUUUGAGUAAAUUAGGGUGUUCAAAGCAGGCUUAUGCUCUGUAUACACUAGCAUGGGAUGACACGAUAGGACUUCGGUUUAUCUUGUCGGUCUGUAGAUCGGAGUAAUGAUUAAGAGGGACAGUCGGGGGCAUUCGUAUUUCGUAGUCAGAGGUGAAAUUCUUGGAUUUACGGAAGACGAACUUCUGCGAAAGCAUUUGCCAAGGAUGUUUUCAUUAAUCAAGAACGAAAGUC
rnacentral:rRNA from 1 species